rnacentral:rRNA from 1 species
AUACGUAGGGGGCAAGCGUUAUCCGGAUUUACUGGGUGUAAAGGGAGCGUAGACGGCAAAGCAAGUCUGAAGUGAAAGCCCCGGGCUCAACCCGGGAAUUGCUUUGGAAACUGUUUAGCUGGAGUGCAGGAGAGGUAAGCGGAAUUCCUAGUGUGGCGGUGAAAUGCGUAGAUAUUAGGAGGAACACCGGCGGCGAAGGCGGCUUACUGGACUGUAACUGACGUUGAGGCUCGAAAGCGUGGGGAGCAAACAGGAUUAGAUACCCUGGUAGUCCACGUUGUAAACGAUGAAUACUAGGUGUGGGGGGACUGACCCCCUCCGUGCCGCAGUUAACACAAUAAGUAUUCCACCUGGGGAGUACGAUCGCAAGAUUGAAACUCAAAUGAAUUGACGGGG